rnacentral:rRNA from 1 species
CCUACGGGAGGCAGCAGUGAGGAAUAUUGGUCAAUGGACGAGAGUCUGAACCAGCCAAGUAGCGUGAAGGAUGACUGCCCUAUGGGUUGUAAACUUCUUUUAUAUGGGAAUAAAAUGUUCCACGUGUGGGAUUUUGUAUGUACCAUAUGAAUAAGGAUCGGCUAACUCCGUGCCAGCAGCCGCGGUAAUACGGAGGAUCCGAGCGUUAUCCGGAUUUAUUGGGUUUAAAGGGAGCGUAGGUGGAUUGUUAAGUCAGUUGUGAAAGUUUGCGGCUCAACCGUAAAAUUGCAGUUGAAACUGGCAGUCUUGAGUACAGUAGAGGUGGGCGGAAGUCGUGGUGUAGCGGUGAAAUGCCUAGAUAUCACGAAGAACUCCGAUUGCGAAGGCAGUUCACUGGACUGCAACUGACACUGAGGCUCGAAAGUGUGGGUAUCAAACAGGAUUAGAUACCCGAGUAGUC